UACGUAGGGGGCAAGCGUUGUCCGGAUUUAUUGGGCGUAAAGAGCGUGUAGGCGGCCAGGUAGGUCUGCUGUGAAAACUCGAGGCUUAACCUCGAGAUGUCGGCGGAAACCAUCUGGCUAGAGUCCGGAAGAGGAGAAUGGAAUUCCCGGUGUAGCGGUGAAAUGCGCAGAUAUCGGGAAGAACACCCGUGGCGAAGGCGGUUCUCUGGGACGGUACUGACGCUGAGGCACGAAGGCCAGGGGAGCAAACGGG
rnacentral:rRNA from 1 species